GUAAGUCCCGCAACGAGCGCAACCCUUACGGUUAGGUGNUACGCAAGAGCACUUUAGCCGGACUGCCGUUGACAAAACGGAGGAAGGUGGGGAUGACGUCAAAUCAUCAUGCCCCUUAUGACCUGGGCCACACACGUAAUACAAUGGCGGCUAACAAAGGGCAGCAAGCGUGCGAACGCAAGCGAAACCCAAAAAGCCGUCUCAGUUCGGAUUGCAGGCUGCAACUCGCCUGCAUGAAGUUGGAAUUGCUAGUAAUCGCGGAUCAGCAUGCCGCGGUGAAUACGUUCCCGGGCCUUGUACACACCGCCCGUCACACCAUGGGAGUCGGUAACACCCGAAGCCUGUAGCCUAACCCGCAAGGGAGGGGGCAGUCGAAGGUGGGAUUGAUGACUGGGGUG
rnacentral:rRNA from 1 species